rnacentral:rRNA from 1 species
AUGCCCAUGUUGUCUGAUAAGGAUAAAGAUGUUAUGAAAAAUGGGGCGCUCCAAACAAGAUUGACUUCCUCUCUCUUUCUUAUACAAGGCAUGCAGAAGAGGCAAGCACGGGAGUUCCUCUCAAAGUUGGUUAUCUUAGCCAAAACUCUGAUUUUUGCCAAAAUUGAGAAUGUGGAGCCUGCUGUUGUUACUCGUGUUGUGGACAGUAUGACGGACAACCUAAGGCUCACUCGUUUGGAGGCAACUGACGUGUCAAACGCGGUGCUGGACGGUAGUGAUGCCAUUCUCCUUGGUGCUGAGACUCUCCGUGGGUUGUAUACAGUUGAGACUAUUUCAACAGUAUGCAGAAUUGGUGCUGAGGCUGAGAAGGUCUUCAACCAGGAUUUGUACUUCAAGCGAACCAUGAAAUACGUGGGAGAACCCAUGACCCACUUGGAGUCUAUUGCUUCCUCUUUAGUGCGGGCUGCUAUCAAAGUUAAGGCUUCAGUCAUCAUUUGCUUCACCUCAUCUGGACGGGAGAAAAAGAGUCCACCAUGCCGUUCCUCGUCUAAAAACAAAUCAAUUGAAGUGGAGCUUCACAAGCGCAUUUGA